rnacentral:rRNA from 1 species
AAACUAACAAGGAUUCCCCUAGUAACGGCGAGUGAAGCGGGAAGAGCUCAAAUUUGAAAGCUGGCAGCAAUGUCCGCGUUGUAAUCUCGAGAUGUGUUUUCCGUGCUGGACCAUGGACAUGUUCCCUGGAAAGGGAUGUCAUAGAGGGUGAUAACCCCGUACUUGCUAUGGACGCCCAGUGCUUUGUGAUACACAUUCGAAGAGUCGAGUUGUUUGGGAAUGCAGCUCAAAAUGGGUGGUAAAUUCCAUCUAAAGCUAAAUAUUGGGGAGAGACCGAUAGCAAACAAGUACCGUGAGGGAAAGAUGAAAAGCACUUUGGAAAGAGAGUUAAACAGUUUGUGAAAUUGUCAAAAGGGAAGCACAGGAAGUCAGUUUUGCUUGCAGUAUUUAUACUGUUUGCAGGCCAACAUCGAUUUUCGGCAACAGAUAAGGGUGAAAAGAAUGUGGCCACUUCGGAGGUGUUUUAUAGCUUUUCACUGGAUAUGUUGCUGGGGAUCGAGGAACGCAGCGUCCCUGCAAGGGCAGGCCUUUGGGCACUUUGACGCUUAGGAUGUUGGCGUAAUGGCUUUCCGUGACCCGUCUUGA